CUCCUUUGACGUUAGCGGCGGACGGGUGAGUAACACGUGGGUAACCUACCUAUAAGACUGGGAUAACUUCGGGAAACCGGAGCUAAUACCGGAUAACAUUUGGAACCGCAUGGUUCUAAAGUGAAAGAUGGUUUUGCUAUCACUUAUAGAUGGACCCGCGCCGUAUUAGCUAGUUGGUAAGGUAACGGCUUACCAAGGCRACGAUACGUAGCCGACCUGAGAGGGUGAUCGGCCACACUGGAACUGAGACACGGUCCAGACUCCUACGGGAGGCAGCAGUAGGGAAUCUUCCGCAAUGGGCGAAAGCCUGACGGAGCAACGCCGCGUGAGUGAUGAAGGGUUUCGGCUCGUAAAACUCUGUUAUUAGGGAAGAACAAAUGUGUAAGUAACUGUGCACAUCUUGACGGUACCUAAUCAGAAAGCCACGGCUAACUACGUGCCAGCAGCCGCGGUAAUACGUAGGUGGCAAGCGUUAUCCGGAAUUAUUGGGCGUAAAGCGCGCGUAGGCGGUUUCUUAAGUCUGAUGUGAAAGCCCACGGCUCAACCGUGGAGGGUCAUUGGAAACUGGGAAACUUGAGUGCAGAAGAGGAAAGUGGAAUUCCAUGUGUAGCGGUGAAAUGCGCAGAGAUAUGGAGGAACACCAGUGGCGAAGGCGACUUUCUGGUCUGUAACUGACGCUGAUGUGCGAAAGCGUGGGGAUCAAACAGGAUUAGAUACCCUGGUAGUCCACGCCGUAAACGAUGAGUGCUAAGUGUUAGGGGGUUUCCGCCCCUUAGUGCUGCAGCUAACGCAUUAAGCACUCCGCCUGGGGAGUACGACCGCAAGGUUGAAACUCAAAGGAAUUGACGGGGACCCGCACAAGCGGUGGAGCAUGUGGUUUAAUUCGAAGCAACGCGAAGAACCUUACCAAAUCUUGACAUCCUUUGAAAACUCUAGAGAUAGAGCCUUCCCCUUCGGGGGACAAAGUGACAGGUGGUGCAUGGUUGUCGUCAGCUCGUGUCGUGAGAUGUUGGGUUAAGUCCCGCAACGAGCGCAACCCUUAAGCUUAGUUGCCAUCAUUAAGUUGGGCACUCUAGGUUGACUGCCGGUGACAAACCGGAGGAAGGUGGGGAUGACGUCAAAUCAUCAUGCCCCUUAUGAUUUGGGCUACACACGUGCUACAAUGGACAAUACAAAGGGCAGCUAAACCGCGAGGUCAUGCAAAUCCCAUAAAGUUGUUCUCAGUUCGGAUUGUAGUCUGCAACUCGACUACAUGAAGCUGGAAUCGCUAGUAAUCGUAGAUCAGCAUGCUACGGUGAAUACGUUCCCGGGUCUUGUACACACCGCCCGUCACACCACGAGAGUUUGUAACACCCGAAGCCGGUGGAGUAACCAUUUAUGGAGCUAGCCGUCGAAGGUGGGACAAAUGAUUGGGGUGAAGUCGU
rnacentral:rRNA from 1 species